CCUACGGGGGGCUGUAGUGGGGAAUAUUGCACAAUGGGCGCAAGCCUGAUGCAGCCAUGCCGCGUGUGUGAAGAAGGCCUUCGGGUUGUAAAGCACUUUCAGCGGGGAGGAAGGCGGUGAGGUUAAUAACCUCAUCGAUUGACGUUACCCGCAGAAGAAGCACCGGCUAACUCCGUGCCAGCAGCCGCGGUAAUACGGAGGGUGCAAGCGUUAAUCGGAAUUACUGGGCGUAAAGCGCACGCAGGCGGUCUGUCAAGUCGGAUGUGAAAUCCCCGGGCUCAACCUGGGAACUGCAUUCGAAACUGGCAGACUAGAGUCUUGUAGAGGGGGGUAGAAUUCCAGGUGUAGCGGUGAAAUGCGUAGAGAUCUGGAGGAAUACCGGUGGCGAAGGCGGCCCCCUGGACAAAGACUGACGCUCAGGUGCGAAAGCGUGGGGAGCAAACAGGAUUAGAUACCCCAGUAGUC
rnacentral:rRNA from 1 species